AGAGUUUGAUCCUGGCUCAGGACGAACGCUGGCGGCGUGCUUAACACAUGCAAGUCAAGGAGAAAGGAUAUCUUCGGAUAUCUGAUUACACUGGCGGAUGGGUGAGUAACGCGUAGGCAACCUACCUUCAGGUUUGGGAUAACACUGCUAACGCGGUGCUAAUACCAGAUGGUGCAUAUACACUGCAUGGUGUAUAUGUUAAAGCUGGCCACUGAUAUAAGCUAGUACCUGUAGAUGGGCUUGCGUUUCAUUAGUUAGUUGGUGGGGUAAUGGCUCACCAAGGCGACGAUGGAUAGCCGGCCUGAGAGGGUGAUCGGCCACACUGGGACUGAGAUACGGCCCAGACUCCUACGGGAGGCAGCAGUGAGGAAUAUUGCGCAAUGGCAGAAAUGCUGACGCAGCAACGCCGCGUGAGGGAUGAAGCUUUUCGGAGUGUAAACCUUUGUUAGGAGGGACGAACGGGCAUAAUACGAAUAGGGUUAUGCCGUGACGGUACCUCCAGAGGAAGCCCCGACUAACUCCGUGCCAGCAGCCGCGGUAAUACGGGGGGGGCAAGCGUUGUCCGGAAUCAUUGGGCGUAAAGGGCGCGUAGCUGACAGGUCAGUCUGUGGUGCAUCUUGUGGCUUAACCGUAAGUUUGCCAUGGAAACUACCUGUCUUGAGAUCGGAAGGGGGAAGCGGAAUUCCUGGUGUAGCGUGAAAUGCGUAGAUAU
rnacentral:rRNA from 1 species